rnacentral:rRNA from 1 species
CAUGCAAGUCGAGGGGCAGCAUGAACUUAGCUUGCUAAGUUUGAUGGCGACCGGCGCACGGGUGAGUAACACGUAUCCAACCUGCCGAUGACUCGGGGAUAGCCUUUCGAAAGAAAGAUUAAUACCCGAUGGCAUAGUUCUUCCGCAUGGUAGAACUAUUAAAGAAUUUCGGUCAUCGAUGGGGAUGCGUUCCAUUAGGUUGUUGGCGGGGUAACGGCCCACCAAGCCUUCGAUGGAUAGGGGUUCUGAGAGGAAGGUCCCCCACAUUGGAACUGAGACACGGUCCAAACUCCUACGGGAGGCAGCAGUGAGGAAUAUUGGUCAAUGGACGAGAGUCUGAACCAGCCAAGUAGCGUGAAGGAUGACUGCCCUAUGGGUUGUAAACUUCUUUUAUACGGGAAUAAAGUGAGGCACGUGUGCCUUUUUGUAUGUACCGUAUGAAUAAGGAUCGGCUAACUCCGUGCCAGCAGCCGCGGUAAUACGGAGGAUCCGAGCGUUAUCCGGAUUUAUUGGGUUUAAAGGGAGCGUAGGCGGACGCUUAAGUCAGUUGUGAAAGUUUGCGGCUCAACCGUAAAAUUGCAGUUGAUACUGGGUGUCUUGAGUACAGUAGAGGCAGGCGGAAUUCGUGGUGUAGCGGUGAAAUGCUUAGAUAUCACGAAGAA